rnacentral:rRNA from 1 species
UACGAAGGGGGCUAGCGUUGUUCGGAAUUACUGGGCGUAAAGGGCGCGUAGGCUGUGCUGUAAGUCAGGCGUGAAAGCCCCGGGCUUAACCUGGGAACGGCGCUUGGGACGGUCCCGCUAGAGAUCGGGAGAGGAGCGUGGAAUUCCCAGUGUAGAGGUGAAAUUCGUAGAUAUUGGGAAGAACACCGGUGGCGAAGGCGGCGCUCUGGACCGAGACUGACGCUGAGGCGCGAAAGCGUGGGGAGCAAACAGG